UUACUUGAUAAAAUCUAUUCACAUACAGGAGGAGCCAACUGCAAUUACCAAAUAUAAGUAGCAGUUUAUUAGUUUCUAUUAUAUGCUAUGUGUUGUGUUAGAUCUUGGGAUUACAGAAUUGGAUAUGACAUAGUUCCUGUCUGUAAUGGCCCAUAAUGUAGUGAGGUGGUGAGAACAUGAGCAGAUAGUGCCUAUACAACUUAGAGGUAUCCACAUUACUAGGCAUUUAUUGCUCCAGUUUGCAAAGUGCCUACUCUCUGGCAUUGUGCUAAUGACCUGACUAUAUGGAAUGUGUGUGUGUGUGUGUGUAUGUGUAUGUUUAUGCAUGUGUAUGUGUAUAAACUCCAACUCCUAGAACAGUCCUGCUUUUAUCUUCAUUUUAUAGAUGAGAUAAUCAAGGCUUACAUAGAUUAAGUCAUCCAAGAUCACAUAGCUGGUUUUUAACAGAAUUCAGAUUUGAA
rnacentral:lncRNA from 10 species